GCCGGGCGCAGUGGCUCAUGCCUGUAAUCCCAGCAGCUCGGGAGGCUGAGGCAGGAGGAUCAUGAGUUCAAAGCCAGCCUCAGAAAUGGUGAGGCUCUAAACAGCUCAGUGAGACCCUGUCUCUA
rnacentral:sRNA from 1 species